rnacentral:tRNA from 1 species
AUUUAAGUAGUUUAAUAAAAAUAUUGAUUUGUGGGGUCAAAGAUGCAGGAAUGUUUUAAAUA